GGUCUGCAAAUCACUGUCUUUUACACGACACUCACAGAGGUAUUUGUCGUCACUGAGGGUAAACACAUCAUUUUAUAUAUCAAUCUUAAUUAAAAAAAACACACACACAGAGACAAUUAAAGAAUCUAUGGUUAUAUCAGCACAAAUAUGAAGGUAAGCUUUCUUUCCCUAGCCAUUCCUCCAUGCCAAACGUACUUGAAAUUGGACGAUGGUGUCAUGUUUACGAGGGACAGAUGAAAAGCAAUAGAAAUGGCAAAUCAAAACUAUAUAUGCAAAAGCUUACUCAAGCGCUUUGUUCUUCUCACUUUUUAUGUAUUUUUGCAAGCGACACCUGAAUCUAUAUCUGCCUAAAACCGUAACAUUUUCAUCUCUUCAAUUUUCAAUCUUAAAUCUUCUUCGGAGGGUGUCUUGCCACCAUCCUUCAAGGUUGCACACCACCAUGCCAUUAGCUCUAUUAAGGAAACUAAAGCAAUCACAGCAAUGCCAUCUCCAAUAUAGCUGUCAUCAUUUAUGUCAAUACCAUAUAUGUGUAUUCCAUGAUUUUAGGAUCAGGUUUUUCUUUCUGUUACAUAACUUUGAUUGCCUAAACUUAUGGUUUCGGGUUGUAUAAAGAUAUUAAAGAUGUACAGAGAUAAGCGUGCAUUUGUAAUAAGAAUAAUUACAACAGUUUUUGUAUCCGCUUUAAGCUCACCCUGCAAAAUACAGGAGUUGGGCUUAACCGCCACUUUUGAAAGUAAAAAAACAUGAGAGCAAAACCAUCUAGGUGGUGGUCCAGUGGUAAAAGUUUGGGACUAAGAGGUUUGCUCCCUCUAUGGUCUCAGAUUCGAGUCCUGUGAUUGCUCAUAUGAUGGCCACUAGAGGCUUACAUGGUCGUUAACUUCAGGGCCCGUAGGAUUAGUCGAGGUGCUCGCAAGCUAGCCCGGACACCCAAAUUAAACUAAAAAAAUAAAAUAAAAAUCAGAGCAACAUAAGAGUAGGAUCACUUUCUUUCUCAUGUACAAGGAUAAUAUUUCCACCAUUUUUAAAUGAACGUGGAACUUGAAGGUCCAUUCUUAAAUAGUCCUUAUAUAUAUGAUAAUAUAUUAAGAAACUCAGAGUCAUUGACUUCCUUUACAAUCGUGCAUUCAAAACAUACAAACAUGAUUCAACAAGGGGGAAAAGGCUAUAAAUAGCCAGAUUAAUUAAAUGGAGCCCAUGAAUAAAGAUAUCAAGCUCGCAGAUUCAGCUGGAAAUCUAUAGAUCAAAGAUUGAAAUUUAAAUUGCUAGAUUAUAUAAAACAUGAAUUCGUUUUCAGAGUCGGGCUUUUACCUCGGUGAAGUCGUGGUUGGAGAUAUAUUGACUCUCAACUAAACAUUUGACGCCACCUACAAUUACAGCAAUAGAAUUUUUGAACUUUUGUUUUGAACUCUGACUUUGAACUCCUGUAUGAUCAAAAGAAAGAACAGGGGAAAAAGGGGAGGGGGUGAGUCGUCAACAGAAAAGGAAGCUAAUUAAUGACAACUAUGCAACUCGUCCAUCUAUCAUGGAUAGGAGACAGGGUAAACAAUUUUGGCUUACCAGUAAUGCAGGCAACAUAAUACCCAGUUCCCCCCAGUCCCUGUUCCCACUUCCCAAGCCGCAAGCGCAUGAAAAGCCAUCAAGAUGUGAUGGUGGUGUAUGGGAAUUCAUCCAUCUGGUGCCAAUGCAUGCAACAUAGCAAAUAUAAAAAAAAGGAUAAAAACUUUUACGACAAUAAUUUCUAGAAAAGAAAAACUCAAGCUUUGAUGAAUGUUACAGAUAAAACCAAGGUUAUUCCUUGAAAGUAGUUUUGAGUUUUUGUUCAUAUUGGUGUUGAUAAGUAGGACUUUCAGGGGAGAAAAUCAUAAAUGAGAAAGCAGGACUAGGUUUAUAAUUAUCUUGUAAUUCAGUUUUCUAGAAUGACCAGCGAUUGCCUUCAAUUGCAGUGUAGCUGAUGUAAUUGUGCAGUUAUCAUAAAAAUGCCACAAACACAUUAUCACACAGUUACUCCUCUUUGUUCAAAUUUUGCAUGGAGGUAUGCCAACAGAAGAUGAAAAAAGUGCUACUAAAAUUUACCCCCCCAUUGAUAUUGACUAUGAAGUACAUUAAUUUUUUAGUUUAAUGUGGGUGUCCGGGUCAGCUUGCGCGUACCUUGACUAAUCCCACGGGCCCUGAAAGUAACGACCAUGUAAGUCUCCAGUGGCCAUCAUAUGAGCAACCACAGGGCUCGAACCUAAGACCACAGAGGGAGCAAACCUCUUGGUCCCAAACUCUUACCACUAGCCGUAAGAUAGGUAUGCAGAGAGCUAUCCGAGCAAUUCAAACUAUGAAAAACAGUACUAUCCUUUUCUUCUGACGAUUUAUGCAGGCUGGUACUCUCAAUCUAUGUCUUGCAAUCCUUCCUUUUCUUCUGACACUCUCUCUUCUUCAGCCACAAUCAUUUCUCUUUUUUCUUCCUUAUGCUUCACCGAUGCAAUAUCUAAUACAUUUAAGUUAUUGGUUCUGAUCCUGGACCUUCUUGCAUAAGUUGUAAAAUAUGUCACCUCAUUAUACUUCUAUCAUAGGAUUCUCAUAGCCACUAUCCUGAGCUCCUCACCACGUGUUUCCUUGGAAUUAAUUUUCCUAGAAGGUCACUCAGAUUUCACUUCAAGUUCAAAAAGUUUCAAAGUUAUGGAGAAGAAGAAAAAAGGUCAUCCUUCAGUGGUCCUGAACACCACAGCCAGAUUACAAUUUGAUCUGCAUCAGAAGGUAACACAGUUACCCAAAUGCCAUCUUCUUGCCACAAGGCCAGACUGUCUACCAUAAAACCAUGUUGCAGAAACAAAGGUUGUAAGAUAUGCAAAAGCAAAAUUGAAAAGAACUGACUUCGAGGGGGAGAAAAAUGCCAAAAUCAUGAGCCAAAGUAAUAUGAGGAUAAAGUAGCAGAAGAUGAUUUGAUAGAAUAAGCAUGGACAGACCAAUAUUAAGCCAGAUGUUCAAGCCAAUGCAUUUCAAAAUUACCAGCUCACGAAUUUUCUGGUUCAAAUCUGUCAUACUAGGUUCAUAUUUAGGAAAAUGAGGCUUUAAUGCCCUUACCAGAAGUUUAUUAGAUUUUCUACGCAAUCAAACAAAUUCCCACCUCGGACUUGGUUUAUCUAGUUAAGAAAAUAAAUCAGAUGUCUUUAGUUAUUGCAUGGCAGUUUAUAGGAAAGAUCUAAAAAAAGAAUAACAGUGAAGAUGACAGUUUAGUUGGAAUGAUCUACUUACUUGAGAAUAAUUGUUCGAGAUAAACGAAGCCUUUUUACUGCAUCAAAAAUUCCCUUCGGUACGUCCGCUAUCUGGCUAUUGAUAAAAUUGCUCAAAGGCAUGACCUGGUUUUCUUUCAACUUCUUUUCCCCAGAACUUGAAGCAGUGUCUCUCUCAAACGGUUUCAUAUUCAUAUUUAUUUUCCCAGAGGCAGAAGCUUCAUGCAAUUUCCCAUUGCGAACUGUAGGUGCAUCAGCAGCUUGCAAUUGACUAUCCUUGCCAUCUGACUGCUUUGCAUCGUCUUCAUUUCUUGGAUUGAGAAGAAUUUUACAAGGGCUGGAUUCAUGGACCAGAGAAGCGCCAUAUUCUGCUUGAUGUCUUGUUCUUGAAGAGGCACUAGGACAUGCAACAGCCCAGUGAUUUGACUGGAAACAUCUUAUGCACACACAUGGAAAUUCGUUUGCUCCGUUAAAUGAAUUAGCAUUUCUUAGAAUAUCUGCAAGCUCACUAUCUAUUAUCUCUGGACAAUCUCGCACAUGGUGACAUUUUAUGCCACAAAAGAAACAUGUCAGGUUUCCAUGAGAAGAAUCAUCUGUCCCGUAUGAUGGCAUGAUGUGCAUGAGGGCAUCCAAUCUCCUUGCAAAGACAGAAGCCAUCGCCUCUGAAUUUCUGAAUCUUGAAAAAGGCAAGGUAGAGUUCAUUUUACACAUGGACUUCUCAUCAUGGUGUCCAUUUACUUUAUUUAUGCUAAAUGAAACUUCAGUACUGUUGGCACAAUUAUGCAUGCAUACCGGGUCCUCAGUGAAGUGCUCCUCCUCCCUAGCCCCCACAAUGUUUUUAUCUUGGUAAGAAGAAGGAUGAUUCUGCCACUGAGCCUUCAGCCUUAUGAAAUCGGUAAAGCCAUCAAGAGCUUCGCCAGUUCUUCUGUGGCAAAGAUCCCGGUUCGACAAUGGACCAGAAGUUUUUGGAGAAAGCCGAGUUAUCCACAAGCUUGUGAGUGGGUCACUUCUGUACCCGGAAGUAUUUGUGGCCUUGCCUUCAGAUGGCUGUUCAGCAUCGUUCAUCUUACGUUUACCCGGAGAGGAAUUGGAGCUUGUCCCAUUUUUCUCCUUAUCAGUUGCCAUGUUGCAUGAAUUUUUUUUCUCUGCAGAGUUACUCCCGCUGAUCUCCUGACUAGAAGCAAUAUUGGUGGAUAAAAGUUUGGUCAAGGCUGGUGAAGCUGCACCAUUUCCAGAUGUCGACUCAUUUAACUUCUCAUUUGGUUGAAGAAACCGUCUGUACACAUUGUCAGUCACCAUACGACAGGGUAUUGGAGUAGCAUUAGAGUCACAGAUCUUGUUGUCGAGCCCAAGUUCUUUAGAUACUUCAGUUUGAGUAUUGGCAUUCAAAGCGACAGUUUCUUGAGCCUUUGUCUUGGGACAAUACAAUGACUGAAAAAGCGAAUGAAAUCCUAUAGUUUUGCACCCUUUAUCUUGAUUUCUGUUACAUGAAAUGAGAUUCUUAUCACGAUCCUCAUGUCCAUGCUUGUGAUUUGCGAGGGUAAGAGCAAGAGACGGUGCCUCAUCUUCAUUUGAUUUUAAGAACCCCUUCAUCAUGUUUGAGAUCCAAUUUGUUGGAGUUAUGCCUUAAGUUGCUGCCUUUAUUUUAUUUUAGUAUUGUCUAUCUUUUUUAGUUUAAUUCUGCUGAAAUAAAAGACUAGAGCUGGUCUUCAGGACAUGAACUAGUCUUUAGAAGUCAGUUAUGUUGUUAGCUGAACAAGGUACAUUUAUGUUAGUGGUCAGCUGAAUGUGGCACAUUGUAGUGCUACAAACCAGCAAUUUCAGUUUGUUUCAAGUCUAUUUAAACGUGUAAAGAUUGCUGAAACAAGUAAGCAAUCAACAAUAUUUUUCAGUUCAAUAAAACAGUAAAAAACUUCCACUGUACAAAUCAAAAUCUGCAUUUUGUUUUUCACCUUUUCUUUUCAAUCUCUUCAAACUCUUUCAAUUGGUAUCAGAGCAAUUUUCUUGAAGGGCCUGUGAUGGAUUCUGAAUCAAGUUUCACUCAUAUUUCUCCUCCAAUCUUCAAUGAAGAGAAUUUUCAACUAUGGGCAGUAAGAAUGGAAACUCACCUAGAAGCCUUAGAUUUGUGGGAAGCUGUUGAAAAGGAUUAUGAGGUGCCACCACUGCCUAAUAAUCCAACUAUGACUCAGAUCAAAAGUCAUAAGGAGAGAAAGACCAAGAAAUCAAAGGCGAAGGCAUGUCUGUUUGCUGCUGUUUCCACAACCAUUUUCACCAGGAUCAUGUCACUUCAAUCAGCAAAGGAUGUUUGGGAUUACUUGAAGAAGGAAUAUGCAGGAGAUGAAAGAAUUCGUGGAAUGCAAAGCUUAAACUUGAUACGUGAAUUUGAGCUGCAAAGGAUGAAGGAUUCUGAGACUAUAAAGGAGUACUCAGACAAAUUGAUGGGGAUUGCUAACAGAGUCAGGCUGCUGGGAACAUCAUUUGCAGAUUCCAGAAUUGUUGAAAAACUUCUGGUCACAGUACCAGAAAAGUAUGAAGCUUCAAUUACAACAUUGGAGAAUACUAAAGACCUGUCAAAAAUUACAUUGACAGAGUUGCUAAAUGCCUUACAAGCUCAGGAGCAGAGAAGGCUUAUGAGGCAGGAUCAUGCAAUUGAAGGUGCUUUGCAAGCAAAAUUUGCAGACUAUGACAAGAAGAAGUUCUUCAGGAAGAACGCAGCUUCAGGCAGCAUUAAACCAAAUCAAGGUUACAACAAAGGAAAAUUUAUUAAAAGGAAUUUUCCACCUUGUCAACACUGCAACAAGAGUGGUCACCCACCAUUCAAAUGCUGGAAGAGGCCUGAUCCAAGGUGCAGCAAGUGCAAUCAGCUAGGACAUGAGGCAAUAGUCUGCAGAUUCAAAAAUAAAAAACAAGAAGAAGAUGCUCAAGUCGCGAACCAAGAUGAUGAGGAUCAGAUGUUUGUGGCUGCAUGCUUCUCGGUUCAAACCACCUCAGACCAUUGGCUAAUUGAUAGUGGUUGCACCAACCACAUGACUUUUGAUAAAAGUCUUUUCCGAAAUUUGCAGCCUACAGAAGCUGCAAAAGUCAGAAUUGGAAAUGGUGAAUGCAUUGAAGCCAAGGGAAAGGGAACAAUUGCCAUCACAACAAAUUCAGGUACAAAAACAAUUGCAGAUGUUCUUUAUGUGCCUAAUAUAGAUCAGAAUUUGUUGAGUGUGGGGCAAUUAAUUGAGAAAGGAAUGAAGGUGAUUUUUGAAAAUCAACAUUGCUGUAUUUUUUAUGCUGCUGGGUGUAAAAUUCUACAAGUUAGAAUGAAGAGCAAAAGUUUCUCGUUUCUGCCAUUUGAGGAGGACAUAAUGCUUUCCCAACAAAACUCAAUUAUACUAAGUUAUGGCACAAAAGGUUGGGGCACUGCCAUCAACAAAGGAUGCUUACCAUGAAGAAUUCUGAGGCUGUCAGAGGUAUACCUCCAUUUACUGAAAUUACAUUGAACUGUCAUGCUUGUCAGUUUGGUAAGUAGAAUAGAAAAUCAUUUUCGAGAUCAACUUGGAGAUCAUCCCAAAAGCUGCAGCUGAUUCAUACCGAUGUGGCUGGUCCUCUAAGCACACCAUCAUUAAAUGGCAGUAAAUAUUACUUGCUGUUUAUUGACGAUUUCUCUCGAAUGUGCUGGAUUUAUUUCAUGAAAUUCAAAUCAGAAGUGGCUGGAAUUUUCUGGAGAUUCAAGAAGAAUGUGGAGAAUCAAAGCAACUGCAGAAUUCAAGCAAUUCGUUCAGACAAUGGCAGAGAAUACACAUCAACAGAAUUCAAUCUUUAUUGUGAAGAAGCUGGCAUUGAGCAUCAACUCACAGCCCCUUACAAUCCAGAGCAGAAUGGGGUUAGUGAGAGAAGAAAUCGAUACAUAAUGGAGAUGGCUAGAUGCAUGCUACAUGAGAAGAACUUGCCUAAAGUUUUUUGGGCAGAAGCUGCUAACACAACAGUAUUCCUGCAAAAUCGUCUCCUAACAAAGCUUUUGGCAGAAAAAACUCCUUUUGAAGUGUGGUAUAAUUACAAACCCUCACUUAGUUUUUUUAAGGUUUUUGGCAGCACAUGUUUUGUUCACAUUCCACAGAUUAAGAGGGACAAGCUGGACAAGAAGGCAAUGCAAGGUAUCUUUGUUGGCUAUAGCACAAUUUCUAAAGCCUACAAAGUAUACCUCCCUCAAACCCAGAAGAUUACAAUUACACGGGAUGUGCAGUUCCAUGAAGACGACAAAUGGAACUGGGAUGAAACACAAGAGAUCACGGUGCUUGAUGAUCAAAUUAUUACUCCCCUGCAAAAUGAAUCAAUUGAUGAAUCACCAGUACGAGGCACCAGAUCACUUGAAGAAAUCUAUCAAAGGAGCAAUGUGGCUGUUUGUGAACCAGAAAAUUAUGAAGAUGCGCAGAUGAAUCCAGCAUGGCAGGAAGCAAUGAAGGAGGAAAUACACAUGAUUGAAAAGAAUCAUACGUGGGAACUUGUUGAUCGACCUGCAGACAAGAACAUUAUUGGCGUCAAGUGGAUUUUCAGGACCAAACUGAAUGCUGACAGCUCCAUCAACAAAUUCAAGGCAAGGCUGGUUGUCAAGGGGUAUGCUCAAGUGUAUGGGGUGGAUUAUUCAGACACAUUCGCUCCAGUAGCAAGGAUGGACACCAUCAGAUUGUUGCUUGCUGUUGCUGCACACAAAAACUGGAAAGUGUUCCAGAUGGACGUAAAAUCAGCCUUCCUCAAUGGCGAUUUACAAGAAGAAAUUUAUGUUGAACAACCUGCUGGAUUUGUUGUUCAAGGAGAAGAAGACAAGGUGUACAUGCUGAAGAAGGCACUUUAUGGAUUAAAACAGGCACCAAGGGCUUGGUAUGGCCGAAUUGAUGACUACUUGACAGGGUUUGGAUUUCAGAAAAGUCUUUCUGAAUCAACCCUCUAUGUGAAGAAAAUUGAUGAUGAUGUUCUUAUUGUGUCCCUCUAUGUUGAUGAUUUACUUGUAACUGGAAGUAAUUUGCAGCAAAUUGAAAGGUUCAAGCAGGACAUGAUGCAAGCUUUCGAAAUGAGUGACCUUGGACUCAUGAGUUUUUUUCUUGGCAUGGAGAUUAAACAAAGCAGAGGAGUGAUCUUCAUUGGUCAAGAAAAAUAUGCGAAGGAGAUUUUGAAGAAAUUCCAAAUGGAGAAUUGCAAACCAACUGCUACUCCAAUAAAUCAGAAGGAUAAAUUCAGCAAAGAGGAUGGGACUGCCAGGGUAAAUGAAGAAAAGUACAGAAGCUUGAUUGGUUGCUUGCUGUAUUUGACAGCAACCCGACCUGACAUUCUUUAUGCAACAAACCUUCUAUCAAGGUUUAUGCAUUGUCCAAGUGAGCUACAUAUGAGGGCAGCCAAACGUAUCCUGCGAUACAUCAAAGGAACAUGCAGUUUUGGUGUUAAAUUUAUGCAAUGUAAAACACUGAAAUUGCAUGGCUUUUCUGACAGUGAUUGGGGUGGAUUCAUUGAUGACAUGAAAAGCACUUCUGGUUUUUGUUUCAAUCUAGGCUCAGCAAUAUUUUCAUGGUCAUCCAAGAAGCAAAGCAUUGUUGCACAAUCAACUGCAGAGGCAGAGUUCAUUGCUGCCACAGCUGCAGUUAACCAAGCUUUAUGGCUUCAAAAGUUACUGCGUGAUCUACAUAUGGAAGAGGAAGAAGCAACUGAAAUCUCAGUUGACAAUCAAGCAGCUAUAGCAAUCUCUAACAAUCUUGUGUUUCAUGGGAAAACCAAACAUUUCAACAUCAAAUUAUAUUUUAUCCGAGAGGUGCAGAAGAAUGGAGAUGUUAAGCUACUUUAUUGCAGGACUGAAGAUCAAAUGACUGAUUUGUUUACCAAAGCACUUCCUGCUAACAGGUUCGAAUUUCUCACAAGGCUGAUAGGAGUAUGCAGCCCUUAAUGCAAGGAGGAGUGUUGGAGUUAUGCCUUAAGUUGCUGCCUUUGUUUUAUUUUAGUAUUGUCUGUCUUUGUUAUUUUAAUUCUGUUGAAAUAAAAGACUAGAGCUGGUCUUCAGGACGUGAACUAGUCUUUAGGAGUCAGUUAUGUUGUUAGCUGAACAUGGUACAUUUAUGUUAGUGGUCAUGUUAGUGGUCAGCUGAAUGUGGCACAUUGUAGUGCUACAAACCAGCAAUUUCAGUUUGUUUCAAGUCUAUUUAAACGUGUAAAGAUUGCUGAAACAAGUAAGCAAUCAACGAUAUUUUUCAGUUCAAUAAAACAGUAAAAAACUUCCACUGUACAAAUCAAAAUCUGCAUUUUGUUUUUCACUUUUUCUUUUCAAUCUCUUCAAACUCUUUCACAAUUCAUGAAUGAACUAUCAUGUUUAACAAAUGAAGAGGAACCGGGACUUAAUUUCUUGAAUUUUUGUUUUGAUACUUUUUCUCCCAACAUACGAAUGUGGAUCAAGGUUCCGUUGCCUUUUGCCAGUAGAAAAUAACCCAACACUGUUGCAACUUUCAACACUUUCAUGGCUGUCAUCAUCCAUGUCCAGCAUUCUUUCAUUUAAAUUUCCAUCAGAUAAAGCCUUAGCCUUGCCUUUCAUUUGAUACCUCCGGGUUCUGCUGUAUGUGGGAGACUGUUUAAUGGCACAAUCAUUGUCUUUAGGAAGUAUCUCAUCAUCCUGCUGAGAGCUACUCCGGACUUCCUUGGCAUUUUGUGAUCCUACAAUCUCAGUUGCCACAUCACACACAUUUUCACUAUGUGGAGUUUUAAAAUCAUUCUCUGCUGUUGACUCCAGUUUUUCUAGAGGACAGAUGUAGGGACCAGUCUCCAUAUAAUUGUCUCUCUCUUUUUCCAUGCAUGCAGGUGAUCGAUUCAAAAUGUUCUCUUCCUACUGAUGGUGCUUUCUGCAUAUUAGUGUCAUGAGAUUCACAUUCUUCCACAUAGCAAACAGGAGUGAGUUCAUGGAAACGACAUCGUUUGUUCUGCACCCUACACUCGCACAUAAAUACCUGUUUCGAUGAACAAAAGUUUCGAAACUUGACACUCUCAAGAAAAAAAUAAUAAGAAGAAUGGAGAAUAUGCAGAAGCAGCAGCAUGGUGCUCCCGCGUCUACCAAGAUUUCCUUCCUCAAUUGCAUCGAUCUUUCCACCCCAGAUAUCCAGCAAUCUUUUUCCCUUACAAACAGGUAAUUUAAAAUAAUAUCUUUCUUUUUAAUUUCUCCCUGAUAAUUAAUUAAUUCUGUUUUGAUUCUAUAAAAUGGUUUUGUUUAGAGCAGGCGUGUUUGGAUAGUGGAUUUUUUUCUUUUUACGUGAAAAACCAUGGAAUAAGCCAAUAAUUCAUAGAGGAGGGAUUAACGCAGAGUAAGAAAUUUUCUGAAUUGCCAUUAAGUGCGAAAAUAAAGGUUUUAUUUAAGGAAUGAGAAGCAUAGCCCGUUUAGAAGGUCUCGGCAACUCCUACAUGGUGGGGUGGCACAUGGCCUAAAAGUGCUUUUAAUUUAGUGUCGAUAACUUUUUUUUUUUCCCUGUUUUUUUUCUCCUCUCCUCGUAUUCAACACCAUCCCCUUCAAAAAUUCAUAUUAACUCCUUCAAUUUCUUUUUUCUUCACAUUUAGUCUAUGUAUUUUUUACUAUUUUUUUUUAUUAUGUAUAAACCAUUAAAUUACAAAUAUUUUUCAAUCCCCCCUCUUUUUAUUUUUUAAUCUUUCAGAUUUAAUAAUUAUUUUUUAUAUUGUUGUUUUUUAUUUUCAAUAAGCUAUUAAAUUUUAUUUUUUUCAAUUUCACCCCCUUUUAUUUUUUUCUUUUAAACUUGGUUAUCAUUAUUUUGAUUGCUAUUUAUUUUGCUUGAGAUUAUUUUUUAGUUUUUUUUUAAUUUCAUCAUCCAUGGUUUUUUUUUCCUAUCAAUUUAAUCUUUUUUUUCUUCUAUUGCUAUCUUUUAUCAUUUGAUGAAUUUUUUCAACUGAUAUUUUUUUUUAUAUAAUUUCAUCAUUCAAAAUUAAAUUGGUUGAUAAUUGAGCUUCUUGAUUGAACAUGUUUCAAGGAUUUCAUGGAUUGUGAGUUUUAGAUAUGAGACCGGGUUUAGAAGGUUUGCCCGAGUUGAUUUGUUUUUAUUUUUUCUUUUUUUAAAACCUAAUGAUUUUUUAUUCUGCGCCCUAUUUUUAGAGUUUUGCUUUAUUAUUAUUUUUAUGUUUUGUCUUUCAUGGAAUUAGUUUUAUGUCCAUGACUAAAGUCACUAGUUUAAGAAGUUGACGUGAGUUGACUUUUGAUUUUUUGGGGUUUUUUUAAAUUGAUUUAUUUCAAUUUCAUCAUUUAACAUUUAACUUAUUUUAAAUUAGCCUUCCUAUAUUUUUUUUAUUGGGUUAUCUCAAUCUUAUGCUCAUGGUAGCGAAGUUUGCAAGUUGACUUAGGUUGAUUCUUUUUUUUUUUAUUGCUACGGGGUUAGUCUAGGUUCAUGACCAGAAUCACUGGUUUCAAAGGUUAACGUGAAUUGACUUUUUUAGUAUCCUUGUUAAAAUUGAUUUAUUUCAAUUCCACCGUUCAAUAUAUGAUUUGUUGGAAAUUAAUCUUUGUACUUUUUUUUUGUUUCCUUUAUGUUGGAUUAUCUUGAUCUCGUGUCAAUGAUUGCGGGUUUUGAAGGUUAAUCAAAAUCAACUCAUAUUUUUUCCAUUGCUUUUUUAAAUUAAAUUUUUUUUUUCUUAUUUUUAUCAUUUGACAUUGAGUUAUUCGAUAAUCGAGCUUCAUGUAUUUAGAAUUGACUUUCAAACUUUUUCUCUUACAUUUCUUUUGAUGAGAUUGACCUAACCUUAUAUUUAUGGUCGUGAAGUUAGCGAGUUAAUCUAAUUUAAUUGGUUUUUUUAUUUUAUUUUAGUAACAUUGAGUUAUUUCAAAAUCCAAGUAGACUUAGAGUGGUUUUUUUUACUUUUUUUCAUUGUCAUAUAUUUUUUUGUUAGUUUAUUUAUUAUUAUUAUUAUUAUAUGUUUUAAUUAUAUUGUUUAAAUUAUAAAUUAAAUAAACAACUCGGUUUCAUAUUUUUUUUCUUUAAUAUUAUUUUUUUUACAUUGAAAAACGUUUUAUUCGACCCGCAUAGUCUCUCACUAUUUUUUCCCAAUUCACCUCAACAAAUCAUUUAUUUAUAGCUCACCCUUCAAAGUUCAAAGAGAACAAUCUUCGUCAAUUCUCUCUCCACCAAUUACACAGCCCACUUCCCCAAAUGCACUUUUCACUUUAAAACUACAUCCUUCACCGUAGAUAACGUCCAAUCCAACGGCAGACGUUAAAUCAUUCCUCCUGCGAUAGCAAUCCGCGUCCGCCUCAAGUCAAUUUCCACCGAUUACAACUCCUCCUUUUCAUUUUCUCUCUCCUAUAAAUCCCCACUUUCUUCUGCCGCCAAAUACCAGAUUAAAAAACAUUCUCUCAAUUCGUCUAAUAUCUCGAAGUUCCCCAAAUACCAGACUCUUGAUUUCUUAAUUCUCUGUAACCAAUCAUGCCCUCCUCCGCCACCGCAGCUCCGUCGAAGGCCAAAGCCAACCUCUCUAAAUCGAAGAAAACCGCAGCUGCAUUAACCUCUGGUGGUGCCAAGAAACCCAGAGCCUACCCUACUUAUCAUGAGGUAAUCAAUCAAUCAUAAAACAGCUUAUGACUAAUCAAAUGACACGUCGUUUCAUACUGUAAUGCUAUUUUUGGGAUUUUGAUGUAUGCAGAUGGUCAAGGAGGCGAUUGUGGCUUUGAAGGAAAGGAGUGGAUCGAGCCAGAUUGCAAUUGCUAAGUUCAUCGAAGAGAAGCAUAAGUCCAACCUCCCUGUAAAUUUCAAGAAACUGCUGCUUGUUCAAUUGAAGAAACUUGUUGCUAAUGGCAAGCUAGUUAAGGUCAAGAACUCCUUCAAGCUCCCUCCUAAAUCUUCCGCUAAGGAUGCUGCUUCUGUGAAGAAAGCGGCUCCGGCGAAUCCCAAGGCCGAGGCUAAGCCUAAGCCGGAAAAGGCUGCGAAGGCCGAGGCUGUAAAGUCUCCGGCGAAGAAAGCUGUUGUUGGGGCUAAAAAUAAGACUCCGGCGAAAAAGGCAGUAAAGAAAACCAAGAGUAUUAAGUCGCCGGUGAAGAAGGCAGUUAAGAAGACCAAGAAGUGAAAGCAGUUUGUGGAUAGAAUGACAGGACUUGUAAAUUGAGGGUUUACACGGGGUUAUUUGGGUAUAGAAUUGCUUGAUUUUUUUAGGAGAAAUUAUUUCAAUGUAAUUCAACUUCAUUUUGAAAGGGAAUUAUUUGUUUUAGUGAAUAUUUGGUAUUGGUGUGGUUAAUAUUUUUUAAAAAUGUUUUUUUAUUUAAAAAUAUAUUUUUAAAAUUUUUAACAUCAUUACUACCAGAAAUUAAAAAAAUAAAUAAAUAUACUUUUAAAACUCAUAUAAACACAGGUUAAAUUUCACGAAAAGAGUAAAAUAAUUCGAAGUUAAUAGCGUAGCAUCAUCCAUUUGGCAGAAAGCACAAUCAUGAUUUUUCGAUGUUUAGAAUAGAGGUUCUGAGCUCCGAUUGAACAGUGGGCCUGGAAGGAUCCAUGACGAUGUCUUUCCAAAAAGAGCCCGGCUCGAAAAUGGGGCUUGGGUCUGUGUAAAGCUCGUAGAUGGAUUCUGCUUCAGCCCUCAAAUUGCUUGCAUUUGUCAAGCAUUUGUACCCCUCUGGAUUAAUCAGGAGCAUGUUGUCGCCAUCUUUCCAUGCUAUCUGCUGCAUUCAUUUUGUGCCAAUCAAAAAGUCAGUGUAUAAGAAAAAUGCAGUCCCUACUUGUCUUUUGAAUCGAUACCAGUACGGAAAUCUACAGGCAAGAACUAAGGUAACUGCUGCUAGUUCUGAGCUACGAGGUCCGGAAGGUGGGGCUAAUUUUCGUACAUAAUGCGUGUUCGAGGUCCAUUUCUUGUCGAGGCCUCGAGAUACAGAAUAGUGCAUCUAGGGGACCACAAUCCAGGAUUCCAAGCUCAAACUUACCAGUUUUCUUAGAACUGACAGAUGGGUGAUGGGUCUAAUUUAUUUCAAUAGAUUUCGACACUAGUGACUCAAAUAGCAUGGUGGCCCGACAAAAACUCAAGGGUAGUUGGCAGACUCUCUUCGCUAAUCGAUGUGUUGUUUCAGAGGUGCCACGUUCAUGCUUGACAAACCCUGUCAUGAAAUUUGAGGCGUUGUGCAUUUGUGUGUGCCAGGCACUACGAGAAAGAAGAGAAGAAGCACGGGAUGCAUGGCGGAUAAACCUGAUGGAAGAGUCGUACUUACACUAGGCGGUGCUCCCACUGAAUUGGUGCAAUAAAGCCUGGCAUUAUCAACAAGUUGGCAGUAUCUUUCAAAUGCGCUGGCAAAUCUCUUGUGGGACUUUAACUGGGAAUCCACCCUCACUGCCCCUCUUGUCGUUAUAGCUCUCCUGUUCAAAAUCCCAGAAAAACAUACCCUCUUUCAUUACUACCAUGUACCGUACGACAAUAAACGAGAAUGAUGUUGAUUACUACACAGCUAGUUUUAUCAUGUUUCGAUUGUUACCUGAUGCCUCUAACAACAGCUAGAUAAGGGUCACAGACAACUCCAACCAGCUCUAUUCUGUAUGGUUUCCUGCCAGUUAAUUCUCCUUUCUCGUUGUUUAAUCGCUGGUCUUCUUCCUCUUGCUCUACCUUUUCCCAGUAAUUUACAUCAACGGUCCAAUCCUCAGCAACCUGGUACCCUGGUCUCAUUCGGUAACGACAUUUGUGCACAUUACGAGCCAUGGCAAUUGUUUGCUCCACGAAAGACUCCCAUGAAAGGGUGCCAUCAAUGAUUAUAUCCUGUCCUUCAUUCAGUGCAGUUACUAGGAGUGAUGAUUGGUGCACCUAUAACAGACAAUAAGAUAAAUUACAGAAUGGGAUUGAUUUCAACUUUUGAUCCUGGAAUGUUUUGUUUUUUAAAGCUAAAAAUCUCUACCCAGGUGGAAAAAAAGAGGGGGGGAUGGAUUCUUUACCAGUUCAGCAGUUUGAAGCAUGUCAUCGUGAUGGCCCAUGGAGCUAUUGGCUCGGUAGGUGACAUCCGACUCUUUGAAUGCAUCAGCCUCUACCACAACCGCCUUUGCCUUUGCUCCUGACCAGAACGGUCUGCCCAAUUAUUUAUUGAUCAGUGUCCCAUCAAAUCACAAUCACAAGGCAUGCACUAUUUUCCAAAGCAAAAUUCAAUUAUCUUUACUCCGUGCCCCUUUGUUUAUCGAACUCCGUACGUAAAUUAAAUUUUCUUUCGACAAGAUAAUUGGCAUUUUAGAAGGGGUAUUAUAGAAUUCUAACACAACUUGAUAAAAAUUCCAAGAAAGCAAUAUAAGUAAAAAAAAAAAAAAAAAAAAAGCACAAUCACUUUGAAAAUAGCGGUUGACAUAGCUGCUGUUACAAAUAGUAAUUGUUUUGAAAAUUAUGUCUUUUGAUUUAAUUAACAUGUUUAAAAAAUCAACUUAAAUUUUUAUUAAAAUAUAAAGAGUAAUAAAUAAGAUUUAAAAUCCAAUGUUUAAGAAAGAACGAGUCAUCGAAGAUAUUUUGAAGUUUCAUUUUUGACACACUCAGUAUCGCUAGAAAGAUCUUGAGAGACGAUUCUAAUCACACGUUAAAAGAUCACCAAACAUGAUCGUAAUUUAUUAGGGUUUUUCUUAGGUUAGUUUAGGGUUAAUUACAACAUCAUUUUGUAUUCUUUUAAGGUAUAGUUAGAAUUGUCUCGUUAAGAUAUUUCUAUGUUAAUUUUUAUUAAGAUUAAUUAAUUUGUAAAAGAACAUGUCUUGAAAUAUAACUAAACAAAAAAAAAAAUUAAAACGCGAUUGCUAUUUCAAAUAGUGGUUGUAUACAAAAAUAAUAUUCUCAAACACGAUUAUAUUCAAACUUGUUAAUUUUCAAAUAAUUUUUUAAUAUAUAUAUAUUAUUGUCCCAAAAAUUUUAGCAAAUUACAUUUUUUUUUUUAAAAAUCCCCAUGUUCAAGCCCUAUUACUCUUAAAGUCUUCUUUCGUUUUUUUGGGUAGCUGAUACUCUUCUUUCAUGCAUGUUAUAUAUAUAUAUAUAUAUAAUACGCAACAUAGAAAAAUCAUGAAAGUUAUUUUUAAUGUUUACGAGGUAAAAUUUGAUAAAUCCAUACUCUUUGAGAAUAUCUUUGGUGACAGUGCUCUUGCCAGCCCCCAUAACACCACCCAUAAGUAGCAGUACCGGACUUCUCUCACUCAGUGCCACCGGCACCAUGACCUCCGUACAAUGUGAUUCCCCCUGGCCGCUUGCUUUCAAUCCCUCAACUAGAGUAGAAAAUAACCUUGUAACUUUCAAUUCCUCGGUCACCCUCUCAAAUCUUUGUUUUCUGCCAAAACCCACAAAAAUUAAAACCAUGACGAUAAUUUAAAGUAUCCAUUCGAUUCCUGAAACCAUAAAGUUUGGUGUGGUAUAAAUGAAAAACCACGGCACCUCUGGCCCUUCAUAAAAGAGAAAAAUGAGGCCAAGUGGAAGUGGGUGAAUUGAAAAAUAAAAAAAAUGAGGCCAAGUAAUAUAAUAUUACAAGUCAUUGUCAUCAAACCCUUUGCGCUUUGGUUUCCUCACGGAUUCAACAUCCAUAACCUGCCAUCCAUGCAGAAAAUUAGAGUAAAGAGCAUAAGACAACAAAGACAAGAAACAGAAAAUAAAAGGUACUGUUCCUUUUCUUUUUAUUAUUUGGUUCUGAAAAUUGAUGAUAAACCUGACCGAUAAACAGAGAUGCCCUGCUCCAAUGAAAUGCGAAAUAAGUGAGGAUGCAUUUUUCAAAUUCCGCCAUCAGCUUCACGUACAGAAAAGUUUGUAACUCUGGUGCACCAGCAAAAAAGUCAUAUAUGUUAUUCUCACACCCUUCAGAUCUUUUCAGAUAAUCAUAAGCCAAUUUGCAUAGCCGUGGACACUCAUCUGCAUCUGCAAAUCCCAUCUGCCUAGCUACAAAGACCAGUACAGUGAAAAAUGGGUAAAAUUUCUUCUUUCUUGACUCUUGAGAAAAAAACAUUAUUUGUCAAGAAAAAGUAAUACAACUGAAACAGUUUAUAGUUACUUGAAUUAAUUUACCAACAUAAUCGGAGAAUCUUUCAAGAUUUUCCAAACGGCCAAAUUCUUUCCAGACUAAGCCUGGAAUGAUGUGCUGGUCUCUUUUAGCUUUUGGUUUUCUCCGAUAGUCGAGAGUCCAAGCAGCAGCGGCACUGAUGAAACCCACUAAGGAAGCGGCAAGAACUCCUGUCAAUUUGGCAUGGCCGUUAUUAUUAUCUAAAAGAAAGGAAGGAACUGUCGUCAAAGCUUAUUUUCUUACUAGAAAACGAUCAGACAGAGAGAUUACGCAGAAAAAGAAAAAAGAAGGCUUACUUGACUGCAUCUUGUUGAAGCUUAGAGGAGGCUUCACUGCAGAUUUGAGAUAGUUUGCCGGGCUUUAGAUGAUUUUACCGAUUACAGAUGGAGCUCAUCUCAUGAUAAAACGAGCAUGUGACUUUGUGGGUCUUUGUAAAUAAAGGAUGAUGGAUAAAUUUUUAUAUGCUUAUCGAUUCCCACAUGACAAAAAAAGAAGAAGCAUUUCUUUGAUUUGAUGCACAUCCUUUCACGUUUUAUUAAAUAAAAUAAAAGCUAAAGUAUAUGGAAUAUCUUUUAUACAUGCAUGUGUCUUUGUUUAUCGUGGAUUAAAAUAAUGAAUUGAUAACUUUAUUCUUAAAAAAAUCUCAUUAAAAUGCUUUUUCAUAGAUUAAAAUGAUCUUCUUUUUAGUUCAUUUAUCAUUUGUGAAUCGCUAAGGGGGUGUCUUGAUUUUUUCAUUAAUCUUGUGUACAUUUAAAUAACUCUGUUGCCCUUCAGUUAACUAUGGCUUAUGGUUUUUUUGGCAUUUUGUAUUUUUAGUUAUAGUAUAAUUAUUCUAUCACUUUUGGAUUCAGAUUUUUUAAAGCUUGAUUUUUAGGGGCUAAUUUAUAAUUGUAAUUUUUUUCUCCUAAUAAUUCUUGGGUUCUAAAGGUAGGACGGUGUUUAAAAAAAAACAUUAAAAGCUGACAUGUGAGCAUGUUAGCCUCUUUCGAGCAAUGCAUGCGGUUGCAUACAAUGGUAAAAAAAUUGAUUAUAUCGCAUAAUUAGAUUCAUCUUGUCCUCGUCUUCAUCUAUGUGAGACGCGUGUGCUCGUUGGACUUUUGAUGAGUCACCGAUAUUUUUUUUUCUUUUCUUUCUUUCCUUCUAAAAAUUGUGCAUAGCCCCUUACAUUUUCAUAUUAGCCCUUCAAGUUCAUUUUCUUUUGAUUUUUUCCUUGAUUUUUUAAUAUCUAUUUGUUUUAUUUUGAUUCAUUUCUCAAAUUUUCUUUUUUCUUUUUGCAAUUGCAUCCUCCUUUAAAUUUUUUGUCUAUCAAAUUUGGUCUUUAUUAUUUUGAUUUUGUUUUUUUUUUUACUUUUAUUUUGUUGAUCUAUUUGUUGUUGGUGUUUCAAAAUCCAUCAUUUUAAUUUUGAUUUUUAAUUUUAGUCCUUUUCUCUUUUGUUAGAGUUUUAUUUAUUGUCAAUUUAAUUUUUUAAUUCUAAUUUAUAUAUAUAAUAUUUUUCGAUUUAGUUCUUCUGCUUUUGAUUUUUUUAUCCUUGGCUCUUUUGUCAAGGUUUUUAUAGGUUUUAAUUUUAUAUUUCAAAUCAAGAUUAUGAUUUUUUUCAAUAAUAAUAAUAAUAAUAUUAAUUUCAAUUUGAUCUUUCUUCUUUUGAUUUCUUAUUUGUUUCUUUUAUCCUAAAGUUUUUAUGAUUUUUAAUUUAUCCUUUAAAUCAAGUUUAUGAUUUUUGUUAUAGUAGUAAUAAUAGUAUUGGUGAUAGUAGUAAUAGUAGUAGUGGUGAUAGUAGUAAUACUAAUAGUGAUAAUUACAAUGAUUGUCAUAAUAAUAAUGAUAGUAAUAAUAAUAAUGAUAUUAAUAAUGAUAAUGAUACUAAUAAUACUGCUACUAGUGAUAAUAAUGUUAAUAAUAAUGAUAAUAAUAAUAUUUUAUUAUGAUAGUAAUAGUGGUGAUGAUGAUAAUAAUUGUGAUAAUAAUAUUAAUAAUAAUAAUAAUUGUGAUAGCACAACAACAACAAUGAUGAUGAUAAUGAUAAUAAUAAUGAUAACUAAAAUAAUAAUGUUAUUAAUAGUAAUAGUAAUAAUGAAAACAAUCUAAUAACACUGCUAAUAGUGAUAAUAAUUGUAGUAAUAGUAGUAGUUUUUUAUGAUAAUAAUAGUGGUAAUGAGAGUAAUAAUUGUGAUAAUAACAGUAUUGAUAUUGCUAAGCAGAAAGAAUAAUAGUAACAAAUGAUAACAUUAGUAGGAUAUUAUUAAUAAUAAUGAUAAUAACACCACAACCUCCAAUAAUAAUAAUAGCGGUAGUAGUUUUUACAUUUCGAUAAAAAAAAUAGUAAUAGUACUAGUAGUUUAUUAUAAUGGUUGUGAUGGUUAUGAUAUCAAUAAUUGUAGUGGUGAUAGUAAUAAUAAUAACAAUUGUAAUAAUAAUAAAAUCAACAACUCAAAAUAAUAAUAAUGAUAUCAAUGAUAAUUUUAACAACAACAACAACAACAACAAUAGUAUUAAUGCUAAUAAUAAUAAUAGUAGUAGUAGUAGCAGCAAUAGUAGUAGUAACAAUGAUAAUAGUGAUGGUAAUAGAUAAUAAUAAUAAUGUUAAUAAGGCCAAUGAUAAUAAAGGUAGUAAUAGUAACAAUAGAAGUAGCAAUAAUAAAACGAUAAUAAUAAUGUUGGUGGUGGUGGUAGUAGUAGUAGUAGUUAAUAAUAAUAAUAAUAGUUAGAGCUGAGCAUUUCCGGUUCGGUCCGGUUUUGAACCAAAAUAAACAACCAAACCGAUUUUUUUUAAUUUUUUGAACCGAACCGAACCGAAAACUGGUUCAAACCGAAAUUUUUCCAACUUGUUCACAGUCCCAAAAAAAUCCCUAAUCCCUACGUCGAAGAAGGCAACUAAAAAUCUUCCUUAUUUGGGCAUUUUGAUGCUUUGUGCCCCGACCGCCCACAAUUAAAACAAGAGCUUCCAAAUCCAAAGCUUCUGCUACGCAUAAAAAAGAAAAGAUGUCAUGUUUGUUUGCUGAAACUUGUAUGAACAAAUUGUCCAAACCAGCAGCCACACAAGCCAGCAAAAGAUAACAAGGAAAAAAAAGGGGGAAUGAAAGGAAAAAAAAUCCACAACUUGACACUUACCCAUAUCAUGCAUGCACCCCAUAAAGCCUGUAACUUUAGGUUUACAAAGAGUAAAGGGAGGGGAGAAAAAUCAAAGCAAAGGAGAGUAAAGGGAAGGGAGAGGGAUAUGCAGAGAAGGGGGGGCUAAAAGGGAUAUGCAGAGAAAGGGGGCUAAAGGGAGGGAGGGAUAUGCAGAGGAGGGGGAUAUGCAGAGGAGGGGAAGGGAGGGCUAAAGGGAGGGAAGGGGCGGUUGAUGGCUAAAGUGAUUUUAGGGUUAGAAAAUGUUGUAUUUAUACUUACUUUUUUUUAAGUGUUGGCUGGUUGAACCGGUUCGGUUCGGUUCAAUCGGUUUCAGACUUUAGAAACCGAAACCGAACCGAACCGGAAUUUUUUUGUGAUUUUUUAAUCGGUUAAUUCAGUUUUUUUUUGUUCGGUUUUUUCGGUUUUUUUUUCUGGUUUUCUCCGUUUUCUCGGUUUUUUUGCUCACCCCUAAUAAUAAUAGUAGUACUAAUAAUAAUAAUAAUAAUAAUAAUAAUAAUAAUAAUAAUAAUAAUUGUUAUAACAAUAAUAAUAAUUAUUAUUAUAAUAGUGAUAAAAAUAAAAACAAAGGUAAUAUUAGUAGUUGUAACAAAAAAAAAAUGUAUUAACAAUAAUAAUAACAACAACGAUAAUAACACUGAUAAUAAUCAUAGUGCUAGUGAUCAUGAUAAUAAUAUUAAUAAUAAUGAUGACGAUAAUAAUGAUAAUGAUAUUACUUAUUAAUAAUGAUAGUGAUAGUGAUAAUGAUCAUGAUAAUAAUAAUAAUAACAAUGAUGACGAUAAUAAUGAUGAUGAUAUUACUUAUUAAUAAUAAUAAUGAUAGUGAUCAUGAUAAUGAUAGUUGUAAUGAUGAUGAUGAUGAUGAUGAUAAUAAUAAUAAUAAUAAUAAUAAUAAUAAUAAUAAUAAUAAUAGCAAUGAUAAUAAUAAUAAAGAUAAUAAUAGUAAUAGUGAUAGUAAUAAUUCAUCAUUCGAUGUUAUAUUUGUUGGGGAUUGAGUUUCACUGUUUUUCCAUGUACGAUAUUUUCAGUCUAAUAACCGGAGUUACGAGUAUAAAAUGCUCAUGUGGCCCGACAUUCUCUUUUAUUUUUUGCCUUAUUGGUUUUUUUUCUGAUUUUAUCAUUCAACAUCAGUGUUUUUAAAUAAAAAACGGUCAUUUAGGUCUCCUUUGGAAUUAUUAAAUAAACCAAUUCACAUCAAGUUAACUAUAAUAUAGUUUGGGUGUUGGGUGUGACAUCUUAGCAGAUCCAUAGGUGCUUGGGCUUAUCGUGUAGCAGAUUUCAAUAGGAUUGGGUUUGACAUCUCGCUAGAUCUCUGACACUUGAUUUUAGGGCAUAGCCGAGCCCAAUAUAGUUGAGUCUAAUAUCUUAAUAGACUCACUAGCGCUUGAACUCAAUGCGCAACCGAGUUCUAUAGAGUAUUUGGAGGUGUAGGGUAAGGCCUUUCAAGAAAAAGGAAUUUGUGUAAAAUAUGUUGGUACAACAUAUAGUAAAAACAAAAAAGGGCAAUGUCAUCCCACCGGGAGCGAGUCAGAGUAAGGGUCAAUAUGAAGAUAAAAAAAAGAUGAAGAUAUAAUUAAACUUAAAUAAAUGGGUAUGAAAUGAAAUAACCAUAUUUUUUAGGGGUUUAAAAAAAUAUUAGGGGUGGGGGGCCCGCUGCAUAGAUAAUUAAAGUAAGAGCCUAAGUGGGUGAUGUAUGCGAUACAUCUGGACCGUUGGAAUAAUAUUCUACACAUUGAUAAUUGAUGGUUCUUUUAUGAAAGAUCUCAUCUAUCUUCGUUUGUAAGUAACCUAUUUACACGUGCAACAUUUCGGUUCAUAUAAAAAUCUAGCUAUUUCUUAAAAAAAUAAAAAUUAGCUAGAAGAAAAUUUUGUAUUGUAAACAAAACAGUUAAUGUAUAUUUAAUUAAAUAAAUCGGUAAUACUAAUAAAUAAAAUUCACAUAUUAGAUUAUAUAACUCUAGUUUGAUUUACAAAUGAAUUUAUGUUGGCCUUUUUUUAAGAGAAAAAUAAAAAUAAACGACUCUUUGUCUAUUUGCUAGUUUUUGAAUAAUGGAGAGGUGGUAGAAUUUUUUUAAUCUAAAAAUUUAUUUUUAAAUAUAUUUCACCUAAAAAUACAUUAUAAUUAAUUUUUAACUCAAAACACCUCUAAAUCGGUCUAAAAAACAAAACCAAACUAGGAAAAAAAAUUCUUUUUCAAACUUUUCCAGACCCCAUAAAAGCUUAAAAACACAAUAAGAGAUAUUGACACUUAGAUUGAAAUUUUUUUUUUUUAUCGGAAUGUGGCCACCUAAUAUUUUUCUUUUUUCUUUACCGUUCAUCGACGAGCUUCUCUCCUCACUCAAAUUCAUGUAUUGAAAAAAGUACAAAAUAAAUUCUUGAACCAAAGGUAAGACUAAAAAAGUUAAAGGGUCCAAUCCAAAAAAAUAAAGGAAAAUAGGGGGCUGAAAAAAAGCUGCUUUUGAGACGUGGUUUUCACAUGAUUUACGUUGUGGCUCCGUCCUGCUUUAUAUUAAAAGCAUAUAUAAUUUUAAUCAAUAAUAAUGGUGUGGUCGAGUCAGGGUUCAGCUACCAUAUAAAAUACACAGCUUUAAAUUUGUUUUUAUUUUUUUUACUUUAAAUUAAUAUUUUUAAAUAAUUUAAAAACGUUAAUUUUAAAAAUAAUUUGUAAAAAAUAAAAAAAAUAUUAUUUUAAUAUAUUUUUAAAUAAAAAACAUUUUAAAAAAGUAAUUCCAAACGGACCGUUACUCUAUCGCCAAAGCAUCUCACAUAUUAUUGCAUCAACUUGGCAUUAAAAUAUUCUUAAUAUUAACAGCUGAUGUGUAUGUUUCACUUUUACCUGCUGCUGUAUUAAUGGUAGAAAUUAUAUCAUGAUGUUAUUGGUCUGCAAAUCACUGUCUUUUACACGACAGUCACAGAGGUAUUUGUCGUCACUGAGGGUAAACAUAUCAUUUUAUAUAUCAAUUUUAAUUAAAAAAAAACACACACAGAGACAAUUAAAGAAUCUAUGGUUAUAUCAGCACAAAUAUGAAGGUAAGCUUUCUUUCCCUAGCCAUUCCUCCAUGCCAAACGUACUUGAAAUUGGACGAUGGUGUCAUGUUUACGAGGGACAGAUGAAA
rnacentral:lncRNA from 1 species